GGUCCCGCCUGCCCAGUGACCAUGUGUUCAACGGCCGCGGUAUUCUGACCGUGCGAAGGUAGCGCAAUCACUUGUCUCUUAAAUGGAGACCUGUAUGAAAGGCAUCACGAGGGCUUGACUGUCUCCCCUUUAAGGUCAAUGAAAUUGAUCUCCCCGUGCAGAAGCGGGGAUACGCUCGUAAGACGAGAAGACCCUAUGGAGCUUAAGACAUAAGGCGACCCACGUCAAAAACCCUCCCCCCUUAAGAGGAAAUGAACAAAGUGGGCCUCACCGAAAUGUCUUCGGUUGGGGCGACCGCGGGGAAAGACCAAACCCCCACAUGGAUUAAGACCACAAUAGCCUUAAAACCCAGACCUCCAAGUCAAAUCAACAGAAUUUCUGACCACCAAAGAGCCGGCAAUGCCGAUCAACGGACCGAGUUACCCUAGGGAUAACAGCGCAAUCCCCUCCCAGAGCCCUUAUCGACGAGGGGGUUUACGACCUCGAUGUUGGAUCAGGACAUCCUAAUGGUGCAGCCGCUAUUAAGGGUUCGUUUGUUCAACGAUUAAAGUCCUACGUGAU
rnacentral:rRNA from 1 species